rnacentral:rRNA from 1 species
UCGAACGGCAGCACGGAGAGCUUGCUCUCUGGUGGCGAGUGGCGAACGGGUGAGUAAUAUAUCGGAACGUGUCCAAUAAUGGGGGAUAACGAGUCGAAAGAUUCGCUAAUACCGCAUACGCCCUACGGGGGAAAGCAGGGGAUCGUAAGACCUUGCGUUAAUGGAGCGGCCGAUAUCUGAUUAGCUUGUUGGUGAGGUAAAGGCUCACCAAGGCGACGAUCAGUAGCUGGUUUGAGAGAACGACCAGCCACACUGGAACUGAGACACGGUCCAGACUCCUACGGGAGGCAGCAGUGGGGAAUUUUGGACAAUGGGGGCAACCCUGAUCCAGCCAUUCCGCGUGAGUGAAGAAGGCCUUCGGGUUGUAAAGCUCUUUCGCAAGGGAAGAAAACUUAUGAUCGAAUAAAUCAUGAGGUUGACGGUACCUUGAUAAGAAGCACCGGCUAACUACGUGCCAGCAGCCGCGGUAAUACGUAGGGUGCGAGCGUUAAUCGGAAUUACUGGGCGUAAAGCGUGCGCAGGCGGUUUUGUAAGUCGGAUGUGAAAUCCCCGGGCUCAACCUGGGAACUGCGUUCGAAACUGCAAGGCUAGAGUGUGUCAGAGGGGGGUAGAAUUCCACGUGUAGCAGUGAAAUGCGUAGAGAUGUGGAGGAAUACCAAUAGCGAAGGCAGCCCCCUGGGAUAACACUGACGCUCAU